UACAGAGGCCACAAGCGUUUAGACGGAAUCACUGGGCUUAAAGCGUGUGUAGGCGGGAUGGUAAGUACCUUGUGAAAUCCCACAGCUUAACUGUGGAAAUGCUUGGUAUACUGCCGUUCUUGAGUCACCUAGGGGCAGCUGGAACAGAUGGUGGAGCGGUGAAAUGCAUAGAUAAUCAUCUGGAACGCCAAUGGUGCAGACAAGCUGGCUGGGGGUGUACUGACGCUGAGACACGAAAGCCAGGGGAGCAAACGGG
rnacentral:rRNA from 1 species